rnacentral:lncRNA from 10 species
AGGGCAAGAUAUAGGUUUUUCUUUAGGCCACAGGAUAGCAUGAGCAUUCCUGAAGUCAGAAAGCUAUAGAUUUAGCCCCAGAAUGACGGAGCAGCAAUUUUUGUAGCCAUUUAUUCAAGCAGGACAGUUUCAAGACAUUCAUUCUAGAUUUGUCAUGACAGUAAUUCCACUUACGCAGUGUUUGACCAAGGCUUUGUCUGUAGUUCCUGGUAAGCAACUUAGAACUAGAUCUGCCUCCUCCCCCUCCUCCUCUCUUCUUCAUCAUCAUUAUCAUCAUAAUCAUCAUUACAAUCAUUUCAGUCCUUAGUGAUUAACUUAGAGAUUAACCAAGGCAAAAAAUAAUUUAGGCUACUUAGCGAUUUUCUUCCUCCCUUCCUUCUCUUUUAUUCCUCUUUUCUUUCUCUUUCUCCUUCUUCUUCUUCUUAUUCCCCUUUUGUGAGUCAGUUCUGUGAGAUUUAUUCCAAGAGCCAAAAACCAAGGUAAGAUUUCAGAAAUAGGCCUUCUAGAAGCCCACACAAAUGUGUACAUGUGAGGAGCUUGGCUCCAGUGGGAUAAGCAGAUGCAAAUCCAAUUGGUAAGCUGUCUUGGAUCUGGCUAUCUUAUGAAAUUUCUGGUAUUAGUUAUUUGAGACUCCUAUCACCUUGCAAAAAUCCCGAGAAAUCCCAUUCCUCAGUUGGACAGAAUGAGGUGCCUUAGAAAUCCCAUUCCUUGUUUGGACAGAAAGAGGUGCCCUAGGUGUCAAUUACUAUCUUGACAAAUCUGGAAUGAAAGUCUUGAAACUAUCCUCCUUGAAAAAAUGACUACAAAAAUGGCUGCUUAGCCAUUCUUGGGCUAAAUCCACAUCUUUCUGACUUCAGGAAUGCCCAUGCUCUCCUGUGCCCUAAAUGAAAACCCAUAUCUUGCCCUUCUAAAGAUGAUCUCUAUGUCACUCCCUUCUAUAACUGGAAGCUGAAAGUUUGGAGAACCUCCUGUAAGAAUUGAAUUCAUUUAGUUAAGCAUAUGAGUUUCUACUAUUCAGAAAUAGGUUAAAACUGAAAUUAGUAGAAAAAACUGGAGAUUUUGUGUAAGGACAGAAAAAAUAUAGAUGAUACUGGGUGAAAAAGGGACAAGAAGUGAAAAUGAUAAGAAGACAGCAGAAUCCACUCAAUGGUAAGUCUGAAUUUCCCACUUCACGCUAUGGGCAAGAUUCAUUUGUAUUACAGGAACAGGAGCAGGAGGCUUUGACAACUGAGAUCUUCGAUCAUGAGUGUUGUGAAUGCAGACGGGGUUUUGUACUCCAGGCACUGUGCUAGGCACCAGGACUAUAAUACAACUUGUGAUCUGUAGAGGAGUCAGACAAUUAUCCAGGCAUCCCAAAGAAAUGUCAAUUGCAAGUAAGCAAAUUCUAUGAAAGCAAAAUACACAGCACACAACACUUCACCAUGGAUUUAACCUGGUCAGGAAGGUCUGGAAUAUGAUGACAGAGCUGUCUGAAGUUUGGGUAGGAAUUAACUAGUUGAAGAGGGGAAUUAGGAGGUUCUGGUUAGAGACCUGGGUUGUACAAAAGCACGUGUGUUCUCUCAGCCAAAACCAUACUGGGAUUUCUGUGGAGGUAUAGAGGGAGUGGGGAGAGUGUCCCUUUCAUGGCUUCUGGACUGAAAUCUAUCACUCAGGUCUUGGAAACUCUUUGGUCACCUGUGCUCCAAGUCUCACAUGGCCUCUCAGGUAAAGAUUGCUUUACCCUCUUUAUCUAAUCUUUCAAUACAUUUCUCAUUCUCCCUGCCCCUGCC